rnacentral:rRNA from 1 species
UAGGGAAUCUUCCACAAUGGACGCAAGUCUGAUGGAGCAACGCCGCGUGAGUGAAGAAGGUUUUCGGAUCGUAAAGCUCUGUUGUUGGUGAAGAAGGAUAGAGGUAGUAACUGGCCUUUAUUUGACGGUAAUCAACCAGAAAGUCACGGCUAACUACGUGCCAGCAGCCGCGGUAAUACGUAGGUGGCAAGCGUUGUCCGGAUUUAUUGGGCGUAAAGCGAGCGCAGGCGGAAGAAUAAGUCUGAUGUGAAAGCCCUCGGCUUAACCGAGGAACUGCAGCGGAAACUGUUUUUCUUGAGUGCAGAAGAGGAGAGUGGAAUUCCAUGUGUAGCGGUGGAAUGCGUAGAUAUAUGGAAGAACACCAGUGGCGAAGGCGACUCUCUGGUCUGCAACUGACGCUGAGGCUCGAAAGCGUGGGUAGCGAACAGG